rnacentral:lncRNA from 1 species
UGCCCAAAGUCAAACAGAUAUUUAUUUAGUUACACAAGCACAUAAGUGUGGCCUAUAUCAUUCAGGUUUUAUAACUCCCAGUCCCAUGCCAUUUCCAUUAUGCCCAACUGCUAAUUACUUUAUUCUUACAGGAAAUGAAUUCCAGCAAUUUUAUAAUGAUCACUCAACCACCAAAUCAAGAUAAUGUAAGUCAAAUGUAUACAGUAAAAUAUAAAUAUUUAAUUUAAUCCAUAUACUCUACACAUAAAUCCAGAUAGGAAAGUAGGCUGAUUAAAAAAAAAAGUUGACUCUUGAACAACACAAGGGUCAGAGGUGCUGACACCCUUGCAGUCAAAAAUCUGAGUGUAACUUUCGACUCCCCAAACACUUUACUAAUAGCCUACUGUUGACUGGAAGCCUUACUGAUAACAUAAACAGCUGAUUAACACAUAUUUUGUGUUAGAUGUAUUAUAUACUGUAUUCUUACAGUAAAGUAAGCUAGAGAAAAGAAAAUUUUAAUAAGAAAAUCACAAGGAAGAGAAAAUAUAUUAACUUUCAUUAAGUGGAAGUGGAUUAUCAUAAAGGUCUUCAUCCGUGUCCUCUUCAAGUUGAGUAGGCUGAGCAGGAAGAGGGGUUGGUCUUGCUGUCUCAGGGGUGGCAGAGGCGGAAGAGGUGGAGGAUGUGGAGGGGGAGGCAGGAGAGCCAGACACACUUAAUGUAACUUUUACUGAAAAAAAUCCACAUAUAAGCGGACCCUCGCAGUUCAAACCUGUGUUGUUCAAGGGUUUGUAGAUGUGAGGAGUAAAUUACUUUACUAAUUUGCUAAGUGGCAUAAUUAUUUAUAAAUUGUGAACUGUUCCCUAAGCCUAGCUUUCUUUUUACUUAUUGGUACUCACUAUGCUUCAAUUAACUCACGUGGAAAAGUUGAUUACAACAGAUAAUUUGUGAUUACCAGGGUUGUUUUCACUUUAAACCAUUCACUGAUAUGAACAGCAAGUAACCAAUUUAUAUGGAUUUAAACAUAAACACCAGACACUGUUACCACUGCAAAUUUUUGUUUGUAUCUCAUAAGAUAAAGAUAAUUAAAGGGAAAUUGAUGUGGUUUAAAUUAUUGCCAUUUUGUUGCUGUUGUUGACACUUGAGGGCUGCACCUGUGCUUAAUUUUUAAAAAUUAUCAGUAUGUUAUUUUAUUUUUAAAUUUUUUGCUCAUUUGGAAGGGUGAUCUGGUCCAAAUGGAUAGAGAAAAACUAAUUAGUUUUGAAACACCUGAUUUUCAUUAGCAACUAAUAAAAGCUAAGGUUUUUUUCCUUACCUUUUUAUCAUAAAAAUGUUCAAACAUGCAGAGAAAUAGAAAAAAUAAUACAAUGCAUACCCAUAACCCAAUACAUUUAAUUAAUAAUUGUUAUUAUUUUGCCAUCUUUGCUUCAUCUGUUUUUUUGUGGUUGCUAGACCAUUUUAAAAUCAAUCACCCUCCAGUACUUCAGCAUACAUUUAAAAAAAAAUGAGGACACCUUUUUAACAUAACCAAAUACCAAUAUAUGCCACUUAAUAAAUUCACAGUAAUUCCUUAAUAUCAUAUAAUACGCAGUCCAUAUUCAAAUGAUUAUCAUGGUUUUAUAGGGUUUUUAAGAACAUACUGUUUUAAAAUUAAUUUUUAUUUAUAAUUGCUACAUAAUAAUUGCACAUUCUUAUGGAGUACAGUGUGAUGUUUCAAUGCAUGUAGAAUUGUAUAAUGAUCAACUCAGUAUAUGUAGAGUUUUUUUCCAAUUUUGAAUCUAAUCAAGGAACACAUGUGACAAUUGUCAUGUCGUCCAUCUUUUUUAAUCCAGAGCCCAGCCCUGUUUCCCCUUUUCUCAUGCUAUUGACUUUUUUAAAAGGCCAGGCCUUAAAAAAAAACAAAACAAACAAACAAAAAAAACCAGUCCUGGUCUUCAUCACUUUUUUGUACUGUACUAAGCCUGUCUUAUAGAAGGCCCCAGUUCUAGACUUUUUGAUUCUUUCUUUAAAGUGGCUUAACUUGUUCCUCCAUCCUCUGUAUAGCCUACACACCUAAAGUCUUGACUUGAUUCAGGUUACACAUUUUGAAGAAUACUCAUAGAUGAGGCUAUCUCCUUCAUACUGCAUGGCAGCAGCCAGGCAUGGUGGCUCACACCUGUAGUCUCAGCUACUCAAGAAACUGAGAUGAGAGGAUCAUGCUUGAGCCCAGGAGUUGGAGGCUGUAGUGAGCUGUGAUCAUGCCACUGCCCUCCAACCUGGGUGACAGACCGAGAGGCUCUCUCACAAAAAAAAUUUUUAAUAAAAAUUUUAAAAACAUAGUGCAUGGCAUCAGGAUCACAUUGAGCCUGGUUUUCUCACUAUUAGUGAUGCCAAGUUUGAUUCCCAAAUUAAGGUAAUGGCAACCACAAUUCUCUUUACUAUUAAGAUAUAUUUUCCCUUUGUCAAUUCGCUAGUCAUCCUGGGGUGAUAAUUUGGUGCCAUGCAAAUACUGAGUUCCCUAAAGUUAGCUUUCUUUCAAAAAUAACAGGUCGGCUGGGCAUGGUGGCUCACGAAGUCAACUUUUACCAG